rnacentral:misc_RNA from 1 species
GCAAACUUGGUCAUUUAGAGGAAGUAAAAGUCGUAACAAGGUUUCCGUAGGUGAACCUGCGGAAGGAUCAUUAAUAAAAAAUCGAGCGCUGCGGGAGGGUUCGGGCAAAAAGCCCGACGCUCCCGUACCUCAAACCCCUUGCAAGAGCGUAAAACUUGUUGCUUCGGCGUGCUGGCCUUGUGGCCGCCGCCAGAAGGUUGCGAAACUCGUCUCAACCGUGAAGUCAGAGCCAUGUCAAAAUAAAUUUUAAAACUUUCAACAACGGAUCUCUUGGUUCUCGCAUCGAUGAAGAACGCAGC